ACUAGAAAUGAAAUAAAGUGAAAAGAAAUAUGUUGGUUGUCUCCCACACAACACUUUGUUUAUCGUCUGUAGCUCAACGGUUGUCUAGGCCUCAAAAUCAGGAUGUAAAUGUAACAAACGGAGGCUUUGUCAAUGUGUCGCAUGGGUAGUAAGAUGGAUUAUCUUUGCUAGUAUAAUGUUGGAGUCUUUGCCCACUUACAAUAAAAGGACCCGAUGAUUGGUUUUGAAUCUCAACAGCACCAAAUUGCAUUACUCUUGUAACUCUGAAUGGUCCAAUCCAUCGAGAGCGUAACUUACAAUGAAAAAGACGCAAUCUGGAGUUGACGGCAGUCCCGGCCAAAAAGCGGUGAGAGGCAGUUUGAAGAAUUCAAACAAAGUUUCCAACGAAACGCAUUGUUGCCUCCUUCACAUCCGCAUGCUGUCCGGGCUACAAAGAUUCUCAAUAACAUUCUUGAUGCAUUGCAGACAGAGAGGAACAAAAUGAGUAGGCCUACAUGGAAGUUUAAGAAGCUUGCCGAGAGAAUAAUAAAGUCAAAAUCAUCAACUAAGAUGAAGGAUUUUGUUGUGAGAGAGAAGGAAGAUGAAGAAGAGUAAGAGAAGAAUGAAAUUGAAAAUCAAGAACAUCCUACCUAUAUGGUUUGAAAUGGGGAUCCUUUGGUAAAUGACCUACCAUUGAAGGUCUGUGACAACAAGUUAAAACUGCUUUUUAACUUGAAAUGCUAUUUUGCUCUCGACAUGGCAAAACUUUUCAUACUUUGGAUAGUCUGCAUUUAUACUUUAGAUACUCUUUAUAUAUUUGUUCUAUUAGAUUAUGUGAACUUGAAAGGUAAAUCUUGUUGAGUGUGCAUCUUGGAAUUAAAAAGAUUAUGGAAGACCGAGGAACUAAGGAACAGGAGCAGGGUUUAUAGUUUUUUUUGUAAAAAAUGUACCAGUUAAAACGAUUUAUUGUUAUCAUUAGGUUAUGUAAAAUUUUGAUGACAAUGAUCUAAUCUUCGAAUUUGCUAUUAA